AAAGCUGGCAGAUUGCAACAUUGACAGAGCCAGGUUUAGAGAUGAUAAACUUGUUCUUUGGAAACGAACUUAGAACUGGCUUCAGUACUGAACAUGCCUAGAGGUAUGAGUUCCUAUGAAUGAAGGGUAAGAAUGUGACAAGUAUGGUGGCCCAUCUGUCCUUACAGGGAUCUUCAUAGCCAAGGACUGGAUUUGAACAAGUCAGUCUCCAGCUAUGUUUUAGAGACUGAGGACUGUGCCCGUCAUCCCUUAGAGCUUCUCUCUGGGCCACUGGCUCGAAGGGCACAUAUCAGGGAAAAAGACCCAGAAUUCACAACGGAACAUCAACAUAUCCAAAAGGCAAGUUUCAAUGAACAGAUUCUCAGCAAAAGGACUCUAAGGAUGCAGAGGAAGGGAAGUCGCCCUAUCUGGGAAGGAGGUACGUAGAAGAGUGUUACUAUAGCAGGACGCUCACUUGAACUUGGGUUGUGUGUGAGUUCCCACCACUCUCUGGUGAGAAUGACUCAUUGUGCCCAAGUCACUUGUGCAAACAAUGUGGUAUGUGAACACCUUUUCUUGGAGUUCGG
rnacentral:lncRNA from 1 species